GACGAACGCUGGCGGCGUGCUUAACACAUGCAAGUCGAGCGAUGAAGCACCUUCGGGUGUGAAUUAGCGGCGAACGGGUGAGGAACACGUGAGAAAUCUGCCUUCAACUCUGGGAUAACUCCGGGAAACAGGGGCUAAUACCGGAUAUGAGCCUUGAUCGCAUGAUCGGGGCUGGAAAGUUUUUCGGUUGAAGAUGAUCUCGCGGCCUAUCAGCUUGUUGGUGAGGUAAUGGCUCCCCAAGGCGACGACGGGUAGCCGGCCUGAGAGGGCGACCGGCAACACUGGGACUGAUACACGGCGCAGACGCCUACGGGAGGCAGCAGUGGGGAAGAUUGGGCAAUGGAGGAAGCUCGGACGAAGCGAGGGCGCGUGAGGGAGGAAGGCCUUCGGGUUGUAAAACUGUUUCAGUAGGGAAGAAGCGAAAGUGGCGGUACCUACAGAAGAAGCACCGGCUAACUAUGUGCCAGCCGCCGCCGUAA
rnacentral:rRNA from 1 species